GGGGCUGUGCUCUGAGCACAGGAACAUCCCUCCCAUUCUCUUCACCCUUGUGACCCCAACCCACCAGACCAGCACACACCCUACAGCAGCUCUGCAACCCCAAACCCAUCCAUGGAGCCAGCAAACUGGUGCCACAUUCCUUCCCCUCCUUUAAGGGCUCCAAUUCCCUGAGCUGCCUGGAGAGAAACGGAGAGUGGACAUUUACUGUGUUUCCUUUACCAUCUGGGCUUAUUAAAAACUGCGCAGCAAAUUAAAAAUAGGUGGGAACAAAGAUGGGGGAAUGACAUAGAGGGCUGCAGAAAAUUCUCUGUGUACUUUUAAAAGCUGGAAUUGCCAUAUGGACUGGCAGAGAGACAUGUUUUACAUUUCCACUGGUACAUGACUGACAUCAUUUAGCAUUAACUUCUAUUUGAAUAAAAUGGUAGUAGACAUUUAGGUAAUAUUACAGGGCAAUAAAUGUUUUAAAGAGCCUUGGGGGGAUGCUCUUGAAACACAGUCCAGACCAGAACUCUAAAAAUAUGUCUUAAUAUAUAUUAACCUCUUUUAGGACUUUUGGCUCUCAAACAAAUAACGGAGUAUAGGUUUUUUUUUUCCCCCUCCCCUUUUUACUCUCGGAAUUAAGAGUCCCCAGCUAUAUUUUUUCCCUUUUUUCCUCUUCAGCUGUGCUGGGAAGAACAUGAGGGAAUGUAGUUAAAAUUCAAAAAGGUUCCCCUUUAUCAUUACCAUGAAUCAACACAAUAAAUGAGCCCCUUCAGAGCAUGGUAAUUAUAAUUUGAUAAAUCAUCAGCAGAAAAUUAACUGGAUGUCAAAACAUUCAUUGGGAAGUGUGAUGGAUUAGGGGCGAUAGUGGCAAUUAAUCUCCCAGCAUGAGUUCACAGGAGAGACUGAGAGCUGGGAGAUGGAUCGGGGGGAGACCACGGCCUCGCAAGGUCAGGACACUGUGGAAAGGAAUGGGAGAGGGAGAGAGAGAUGGAGGAAAGAAGAAAAAAUUCCACUGAGUCGGCGAUCCGCGGCCCCCAGCAGCCGAGGUAGAGGAGAAGCUACACAGAACAUUGCCAAAGUGUGAGAAAGUGACAGCACAUCCCUGCCUUCCAUGAGCCGGCUGUCAGUGGGACACACACAACCUGCACUGUUUAUACAGGCUCACAGCUUCACUGAACAGAAACUGACCUCCAUUGAGCUUCAUUGAUUUCAUUGAGCCAAAUACGCCGCUGGGUGUAAACAAGAUCCACCCUGCUCCUCCAAAAAGCACUGUGCAGCCUCUGCAAAGAAGAACCCCACAGCAGAGCCCAUAGCCACAACUGCUGGACUAUCAUCAUCCCCGUCCCCCUCCUCCCCAAGGACUGCUGCUCAAACUCACGUUCUUUCUGCCCCACGCAGCCAUAUGAAACUUGUCACUCAGACUUCAAAGGCGCUUUUUGCUCUCCCCUCCGCAGCAGUGACACAUUUUUGGCCAAGCACAUCACAUUAAUAGAAUUUGCUGUCAAACAAGAAGGCUUUCAAACAAUGGAAGGAUUGUACACUGUGCGGCACGGCUGAUGGGCAGAUCACCAGGUAACCUGAUGCAAGAGCUAUAAAACGCCUCAAAGAUGCACGCAAAAAGUGCAGAGUCUGGUUUUGCAAAGAGCUUUGUGGUUUGUAGGGGCUUGGGUUAUUUUUGGUAUAUACUUUAGAACAAACCUUGGCAUUGGACUUGUGUUUCCAAACCAAGCUUCAGUCCAAUAUGUGCAUUUCCUUAAUCAGAGCAUUGCUCCCUUGCUUUCUUCAGUGCUCCCUGCUUGGACCCACUGAGCAUAGAGAGUCCUGUGCUGCCCUUUACAGCAAGGCUGGAUAGUGUGGAGUGACUGCAACCACCUUUGGCGUCAUGCCACUGGACAGCCCUUAGAUAGAAAGGGGUGAUGGCCCAGGUUUCAGACACCAACCAAGGGCAGCACAGCCCCCUCCUCCCCCUGGACUGCACCCAACACAGAAGUUCUGAGCCCAAAACCUGAGCAUCAUCCAGCAGCACAAAGUGGCGCAGAGUGUGACUGACUGGAGAGAUGAAGAUAUUAAGCAUGUGUCUCUGUCAGUUAUGGCCAUUAUCAUUAGCAGACUAGCUACUAUUCCCUAUAUAUUCCUUUUAGAACCGUUUACAGCUGAAACAUUUUUAAUGGCUCGAUGAAUAUGAAUGCAACAUUUAUAACCAUUUACACAUAUGAGACUUUGGGGCACAUCCAUCUCUCAUAGCAGGCACAGAACCUCCCAUUACCGCGCUGUCACGCUGAAGAGGGGAUGGGGAGAAGAGGACCCCACUUUGUAGUGAAAGAUGAGGAUGUUAUUUCUGCCUGUUUUGUGGAACACAUGUUCAGAUAUCUCCUUUAUUGUCACCACAGACGACUCUCCCCGCCACGCACUUCUUUAGACUCUUUAUCCUUUCAUUAACAAUGGGAAAAUGCAGGCCGCUACAUCUGUUAGCAGCCAUAAUUUUAGACAAAUACAACUUCUUAUCAAAUAAGCCUGCAAUAAAUGUUUCAUGAACAGAACCCUUCA
rnacentral:lncRNA from 1 species